rnacentral:rRNA from 1 species
GCAUAUCCAUAACCGGAGGAAAAGAAACCAACAGGGAUUGCCCUAGUAACGGCGAGUGAAGCGGCAAUAGCUCAAAUUUGAAAUCUGGCUCUUUCAGGGUCCGAGUUGUAAUUUGCAGAGGGCGCUUUGGCGUUGGCAGCGGUCCAAGUUCUUUGGAACAGGACGUCACAGAGGGUGAGAAUCCCGUACGUGGUCGCUAUCCUUCGCCGUGUAAAGCCCCUUCGACGAGUCGAGUUGUUUGGGAAUGCAGCUCUAAAUGGGAGGUAAAUUUCUUCUAAAGCUAAAUACUGGCCAGAGACCGAUAGCGCACAAGUAGAGUGAUCGAAAGAUGAAAAGCACUUUGGAAAGAGAGUCAAAUAGCACGUGAAAUUGUUGAAAGGGAAGCGCUUGCAGCCAGACUUGCCUGUAGUUGCUUAUCUGGACUUUUGUCCGGUGCACUCUUCUGCGGGCAGGCCAGCAUCAGUUUGGGCAGUUGGAUAAAGGUCUCUGUCAUGUACCUCUCUUCGGGGAGGCCUUAUAGGGGAGACGACAUGCAACUAGCCUGGACUGAGGUCCGCGCAUCUGCUAGGAUGCUGGCGUAAUGGCUGUAAGCGGCCCGUCUUGAAACACGGACCAAGGAGUCUAACAUCUAUGCGAGUGUUUGGGUGUCAAGCCCAGACGCGUAAUGAAAGUGAACGGAGGUGGGAACCCUUUGGGUGCACCAUCGACCGAUCCUGAUGUCUUCGGAAGGAUUUGAGUAAGAGCAUGGCUGUUGGGACCCGAAAGAUGGUGAACUAUGCUUGAAUAGGGUGAAGCCAGAGGAAACUCUGGUGGAGGCUCGCAGCGGUUCUGACGUGCAAAUCGAUCGUCAAAUUUGGGCAUAGGGGCGAAAGACUAAUCGAACUAUCUAGUAGCUGGUUCCUGCCGAAU